GUGUGUGAUUAUUAUGGAGUUUGCCAUAGGUGUUUUGUCCUCUUCAGUUAGUUUAUCUAUUUUGUGUUAUUUAUGUUUGUUCUCAUUCAUAUGCAUUUCGCAUUCCAUUAGGUACGCUAGUUGAUCACGUGAUGCGGAAUUCAAGAAUUGAGUUGAUCUCAAGAUGAUGAAAUGAUGAACUACUCCGACAAACGAUGUCUGUGAAUCAAUCCUACUACUAUACAGGUUCUUAGAGAAAACGUUUAUUGUGCAAUAAAUGAUGGAAUUAUCAACCUUAUUGACAAGGUACGCUAGCUGAAAAAUCGUGCGAAGCGAAGGGUGUGGAUCAAAACAACCCACAAGACAAUGUGAGGUGUUCAUAUGUGUCUAACUAAAAAUUUGUUGCCCAAAGUUUAAUCUAUUCAUUUUUGGCUAAUAUUACAGGUUGGCCAAACGCUUGGAACAAUGGAACUAUUGCAAAUUCCUUUUUAAAGACUACAACUUCUAUCGGACUAGGUACAACUAACAAAUCUUCUGCCAAUGCAUAUAACAUAUGUUUAUUGCUUCCAGCACACAUCACUUGCCAUGUCACAACUCCAACUAUAUUCACUGCAACUUUUCCAUAUUUUUCAGCAAUUUGCAUAACAGUACAUUGCAUUGCAGUUAAAUGAAUCUUCCAUAUUCAAAUUUAGAGAACCUUUCCACUUAGGUCCGCACACAAGAUUUUAUCA